rnacentral:piRNA from 1 species
UAACCAAACUCUGGUCAGCAGGAAGA